rfam:Oryza sativa (indica cultivar-group) chromosome 9, whole genome shotgun sequence.
AAUAAGUGCAGUUUUACACUAUUCAUCUCCAACGUUUGAUCGUUUGUCUUAUUUGAAUUUUUUUUAUGAUUACUAUUUUUAUUGCUAUUAGAUAAUAAAAAAUGAAUAGUACUUUAUGUGUGACUAUUUUUUUUAAAAAAAAUUAUAAAUUUUUCAAAAAAGACGAAUGGUCAAACGUUGAUAACAGAUUUUCAUGACCGUACUUAUU